UAGUUGUGAACCAACAAAGCUUCCGAGCUGACACAAUGGGGCCGCCGCGCGGUGCGGCACUUACACGGCGGACUGGAACAAAGUAGCGUGACACUUUCAGUAACAGAAGCGUCAUCGGACAGAGAUACGUCGGAAUGUCGGCGCGCUGGCGCUGUCUAUCUGUCCUCAGCAGACAAUACGAGAUCCGAGGACAGACGUGGCCGAACCGCGCCCCUUUCAUGUACUGCUGAUUGAUACCCUCGGUCCUGUCCGCCGUGGGGAUGCGACGGUAAUGUCGCCCUCGUUGCCAGUCGCGUACGGCCACAUUAUCAACGCCAGGCCCGAGAGAGAGAGAUGUGCCGAUUAACCGAGCGCGACACCGCCGAAAAUGUCGAAUCGCGUCGAUUCGUCGUUUCGACGCUGCCGCCGAAGUAGAGGCGUAAAGGUAUAAGUACAGCCGCCAUUAUCGUGUGGAGCGGAACGCUCCGUUGUGUCAUACAUCGGCGAAUUGACGUGCACAUCGGACGUUGUUACACGUCGUAAUCGGUUUGAUUAGUACAGUCGAGAGCGAAACGGUUUGAUCACUUCUUCUCCAGUGAAGUUAGUAACUCAUCUAGUUAUCACACUUGAGGCUCAUUCCUCACGGACUUGCGCGAUAAUCGGACGACAGAAGCCGAAAUGACAAUACGUGGUGCGAAAGUAAAUUUUAUCAAGGCAACGUGAAAACAUGUUAAUAUGUUCCAGUUGUAAUAGUGUUCAAAGAACUGAAAAAUCUUGUGCUUCAAAUAUAAGGAACAUCUGACGGCACAACCUAAACUGGAAAUUCAGGAAAAAUGUUGUUACACCGUCCUCAACAUUUGCAGAUUUGUGAAUAUAUAAAUAGAUUUUUACAAGAAAAUAAACUACGCCGAAACUGUGCUUAAGUUUAACUAAUUGGAUCCAGUUAAGACAACAAUUUCUAAGCGCAAUUAAGAAAUUGACUCUACGUAAACUAAAGCCGUAUGAAGAACAGAUGACUUUUUGCAAAAUCAUGCUCUAUUUGUCAUAGACAUUGCAGAAUGUGUUAUUCGGACUACUAUUGCAGUGACCAUAUUUCAAGAACAUACUAAUGACAUGAAUAUAUUUAUUACAACAUAUUUGUGUUCCGCACGAAAUACCAUUAUAGAGGCAAUGAAUUCUAAAUAUUUCUACUGUGAUUAUGUAUCAGGACAUUCUGCUAUGGAAUGAAGAACGCUGGUACAACCACUAUUACGAUCCAUUCUCGACUCAAACAUAUUUCAAUAUAAAUAUGUUAUUCACGUGAUAGUGCUAAAUGUCUUAGAAAGGGAAUAUUUAAAUGCUUGGGACAUAUUUUUACAUCUCAUAAGUUUCAUAAAGGAUCUAACAAUUGUACUGGUAGGACCAAAUUUUGAGCAGGAUUAUUAGAACCUAGAACUUUGUAAUCGAUGCAGGCGCAAGAAGUUAAUAUUUCAUGUUGAAAUUUAUAAUACAUUUUACCAUAUGUAUGUAGCCGAUCCGUCUCUUAAACAACCUGAUAUAAUUAUGGAAUUUCAAGCAGAUUUUAGUAAUGAGUGGACAUGUUCGCGGAGCAUAUUUUUAUCACUGAUUAGACACUAUCCGUUGAUUUUAACCAUUACAUCGGCACAAAAAGCAGAACAAAACAUGUUUAUUUUAAGAUAAAUUUUAGGUUCUCAUAUAUAACCUCUCCAUAAUGCUCAAAAUCUUUUUAGAUCUUGGAGGCCAUGAAGGGAUUUGGAAACUUGUUCUGUAUAUUUUCGUAAUAAUUAUGUAACUGUUUAUUGUAACACAUCUAUUUUAUGGAGACUUAACUAAACGAUCUGGAAAAUUUGUAUACGAUUUUAGCAUUACGUUGAUAACAUUUCUAUAUAUAAUAUACAAGAUGUGUUGUUUGUAUAAACGAAUAAUGAAUAUUUUUAAUAAAAGACACUUUUCAUUAUA